rnacentral:rRNA from 1 species
GAUGAACGCUGGCGGCGUGCCUAAUACAUGCAAGUCGAGCGAACAGAUGAGGAGCUUGCUCCUCUGACGUUAGCGGCGGACGGGUGAGUAACACGUGGAUAACCUACCUAUAAGACUGGGAUAACUUCGGGAAACCGGAGCUAAUACCGGAUAAUAUAGUGAACCGCAUGGUUCAAUAGUGAAAGACGGGUUUGCGGUCACUUAUAGAUGGAUCCGCGCCGCAUUAGCUAGUUGGUAAGGUAACGGCUUACCAAGGCAACGAUGCGUAGCCGACCUGAGAGGGUGAUCGGCCACACUGGAACUGAGACACGGUCCAGACUCCUACGGGAGGCAGCAGUAGGGAAUCUUCCGCAAUGGGCGGAAGCCUGACGGAGCAACGCCGCGUGAGUGAUGCAGGUCUUCGGAUCGUAAAACUCUGUUAUUAGGGAAGAACAAAUGUGUAAGUAACUAUGCACGUCUUGACGGUACCUAAUCAGAAAGCCACGGCUAACUACGUG